rfam:Ornithorhynchus anatinus chromosome 2, whole genome shotgun sequence.
AGCAGUGUGGCUCAGUGGAAAGAGCCCGGGCUUGGGAGUCAGAGGACAUGGGUUUGAAUCCCGGCUCUGCCA